UACGGAGGAUCCAAGCGUUAUCCGGAUUUAUUGGGUUUAAAGGGAGCGUAGGCGGCCUAUUAAGUCAGGGGUGAAAGACGGCAGCUUAACUGUCGCAGUGCCUUUGAUACUGAUGGGCUUGAAUGUAGUUGAGGUAGGCGGAAUGUGACAAGUAGCGGUGAAAUGCAUAGAUAUGUCACAGAACACCGAUUGCGAAGGCAGCUUACUAAGCUAUAAUUGACGCUGAGGCUCGAAAGCGUGGGGAUCAAACAGG
rnacentral:rRNA from 1 species